rnacentral:lncRNA from 1 species
AGAGCGCUUGGGUGGUAGAAAUGCUACUUAGUAGGAUACAACAUGUUAGUUUUGGUCUACAGUAGUAUCAAUAUGAAGAUUGGAGUGUCAGAUCUUGCAGUUUUCGCCCUGUGCGGUACUACCGCUCCUCCUGGAGCGGUACUACUGCAGUGGGCGCGGCAGUAAAAAUUUACUACCGCCUGACCUACGGUACUACCGCACCCUGGAGCGGUACUACCGCGGCCAGAUCGGUAGUAGUUUUGUUACUACCGCUCGAACUGCGGUACUAUCGC